AAUCAAUGAUGAAACCUAUCCCGAAGCUGAUAACCUGAAGAAAAAUAAGUACGGAUUCGGCUUCUGAGAU
rnacentral:snoRNA from 10 species